rnacentral:tRNA from 1 species
GCCCGGAUGGCACAAUGGUACUGCGCAAGUCUUGAGAACUUGUUUCCUUCGGGAUAUCCCGGUUCGAUUCCGGGUCCGGGCG